GACGAACGCUGGCGGCGUGCUUAACACAUGCAAGUCGAGCGGUAAGGCCCUUUCGGGGGUACACGAGCGGCGAACGGGUGAGUAACACGUGGGUGACCUGCCCUUAGCUCUGGGAUAAGCCUGGGAAACUGGGUCUAAUACCGGAUAUGACUCCAUGACGCAUGUUGUGGGGUGGAAAGCCUUGUGCGGCUAGGGAUGGGCCCGCGGCCUAUCAGCUUGUUGGUGGGGUGAUGGCCUACCAAGGCGACGACGGUAGCCGGCCUGAGAGGGCGACCGGCCACACUGGGACUGAGACACGGCCCAGACUCCUACGGGAGGCAGCAGUGGGGAAUCUUGCGCAAUGGGCGAAAGCCUGACGCAGCGACGCCGCGUGAGGGAUGACGGCCUCGG
rnacentral:rRNA from 1 species